rnacentral:rRNA from 1 species
UACGUAGGGUGCGAGCGUUGCCCGGAUUUAUUGGGCGUAAAGGGCGCGUAGGCGGCUCUGCACGUCCGUUGUGAAAUCGCCCGGCUCAACUGGGCGGGGUCAGCGGAUACGGCGGAGCUUGAGCAAGGCUAGGGGGCAAUGGAAUUCCCGGUGUAGUGGUGGAAUGCGUAGAUAUCGGGAGGAACACCAGUGGCGAAGGCGGCGACCUGGACGGACAUUGACGCUGAGACGCGAAAGCGUGGGGAGCAAACAGGG